rnacentral:rRNA from 1 species
UGGGGAAUAUUGCACAAUGGGCGAAAGCCUGAUGCAGCAACGCCGCGUGAGUGAUGAAGGCCUUCGGGUUGUAAAGCUCUGUCUUUUGGGACGAUAAUGACGGUACCAAAGGAGGAAGCCACGGCUAACUACGUGCCAGCAGCCGCGGUAAUACGUAGGUGGCAAGCGUUGUCCGGAUUUACUGGGCGUAAAGGAUGCGUAGGCGGAUUUUUAAGUGAGAUGUGAAAACCCUAAGCUUAACUUGGGGACUGCAUUUCAUACUGGAAAUCUAGAGUGCGGGAGAGGAGAAUGGAAUUCCUAGUGUAGCGGUGAAAUGCGUAGAGAUUAGGAAGAACACCAGUGGCGAAGACGAUUCUCUGGACCGUAACUGACGCUGAGGCAUGAAAGCGUGGGUAGCAAACAGGAUUAGAUACCCUGGUAGUCCACGCCGUAAACGAUGAGUACUAGGUGUAGGAGGUAUCGACCCCUUCUGUGCCGCAGUUAACACAAUAAGUACUCCGCCUGGGAAGUACGAUCGCAAGAUUAAAGCUUAAAUGAAUUGACGGGGUCAUAGCUGUUUCC